rnacentral:rRNA from 1 species
GUCUGCAACUCGACUACAUGAAGCUGGAAUCGCUAGUAAUCGCGGAUCAGAAUGCCGCGGUGAAUACGUUCCCGGGUCUUGUACACACCGCCCGUCACACCAUGGGAGUCAGUAACGCCCGAAGCCGGUGACCCAACCUAUUCUGGAGGGAGCCGUCGAAGGCGGGACGGAUGACUGGGGUGAAGUCGUAACAAGGUACC